GCGUCGGCCUGUGGGCUCCCCA
rnacentral:siRNA from 1 species